GCGAAAUUAUCAAAAAAGUUCCAAUAUUUUAGGAAAAGUUUCACGUCAAUACAAAAUUUUGUUUUUCGAAUAAAAUAAUCCUGAUUAUUAGAUUUUACAUGAUAAUAUGUAUUUUUCCAUUAAAAGAAAAAAAUUGUUAAUUUCAGUCAAAAUAAAAUAAUGAGAACUUUUCUGUUCAAAAACAAAAUUUGAAACCAAAAUGAAACUUUUCUAAAAGUGUUAGGAUUUUUCUGAAAAUUUUUCAAUUUAAAUUUUCUUGCUUUUUAUUAUUUUAUUUUAUUUUGAGUAAAUUGUAACCUAUCAAAUUUUAAAUUUAGGGAUGAAAAUUGGAAUUUUGACAAAAUCUUAGGGACCAUUUCUGUAAUUUACUCAUUUAUUUUUUUGAAAACGAGGACAGCUUCCACUUCCACGGUUCCACUUAACCUUCUAGCCCUAGCUCUCAGGCGAUUUCGGCGAUCCCACGUCCGGUGCUUCCUUCUCAUCCUCGGUGCUGCGUUCACCUCCGGCAACCAAAUUUUGAUUUGAUCUUCUAGUUGUAGAUUUUCGUUGUGAAUUGUUUUUAAUUUUUUUGUUGAUGGUUAGUCCAGCAGAGUCGCGAAUGAGAGCUGCCUCUAAAAGAAGGGUACUGAAAUCAAACGAAAUCGAUAUCAAGGCAGAUAAGGCAUUUGAGCAUCGAAAAAAAUGUGUUAGACAUCGUUCAUUUUCAUCUUUAGAUUUCAUCGAGAAUCAUGUAAGACCUUUCUCCCUGUUCCCAAUUUUACUAGACAUUUGGAUGUCGUGACUGAUUUUGGGAGUCUAAUUUCGUGAUUGAGAGUGAGGGUAUUUCGAAGUUGAAUGAUGUGAUUUUUAUUUAUUUAUUUAUUUUAAAUAGAUUUCCUUCUUACACAAUAUACCUCUGUCUUGUGUGAUUUCAUUAUACUGUUAAGCCGUAAUUCGUAUUUUCACAUGAUUAUGUUCGGUUUUAUAUUUGUUACAGGAAGGAAAUUUGUACUCUGGCUGUUGCAACCAUGUUUCAUUUUUAGGCCCUUUGGCUAUUGCAAAAUCCCAACAUUUUGAAUUUUACAGAGCUAGAUUAAUUUAGUUAUUUGAUCAUUACCAUGUUCAAGUCAGCAGGAGGAUGCUUAAAAAAUUGUUUUGGAAAGUAACAAAUUAUGUUGCUCAGCACAUUUCCAAGGACACUUGAUAUUGUUAAAACGUGUGUUGCAGCUGACAGGUUGAGCUUGUGGGUUGUUAGAUUCCUGAAUAUGGAUUAAUUGCGGAUGCUAAGAACAAGUGGGUUAGCAGUUCUUGCAGAAAAAAGCUAAUUGUCCAGAAGAAGUGAAAUGACUUUGACAGGAUCAAGAUCAUGUUGGCAAAGAUAAAGAUAACUUAACUUUCAGUUUGCAGUUUUAAACAUUGAAUAAAUACCCAACUGUUUCUAGAAUAUGGUUUUUCAUUCAUGCCUAUUUGGGAUGAUUUUUUUUUCUUUAAUCGGCUCUAUUUGAUGUCAAAACACUUAUUUUUGUAGUGAAGUUGCAUCUUUUUUCCAAUGUAUGCAACAAAAUUGGAGUUUUUUGCCUAUGUGUGUAGCCAUUAUUCAUAUUGAUACAAGUUUAUGUUAUUGUUUACUAAA